rnacentral:lncRNA from 1 species
GGAAGAAGAGUUUCUCCUUGGUCUGAGAGCACCUGAAAGGGUUGUGAGGGACCAGGUACACCUCACCUGGGUGGUCUCUUAAACUAACUAAGGAUUCCUUCUGAUCCCUGUCAAGCGGAUGAACUCAGAUGCCCAGCUUCUCCAGGAAAGAAACAGUCACUCUCAGUCCUGCCAAGAUCAGGAUGGAGGAAAGUGGAUAUGCAACAGGAUGGUAGUGAGAUAGUGACAUAUUGAGAGAGUUUUGUAGUAGGGGUGGGGGAGAUGUAGGAAUGGAGGAUAGUUCUGUGCUGUGUCCUCCUGAGGGAAAUGGAGGAAUACUUUCCGUCCUCCUCUGAACCACUGACACCAGAGCUUCUAAACUGGAGCUGACGUGAAUUCCUUCACUUCUUGGAUACAUUUGGCCAUAUCUGAAGACCGUUUUGACUAUCAUGCGUUGGAGAUCUCUAACCAGCAUCAGGUGACUAGAGAUGCUCUUUAAGCAACCUUUACAACACACAGAAGAGCAAAACAAAACAAACUGCCCAACCCCGAAUGUCAUCAGUGCUGAGAAACCUGGCCUAAGAGUGACUGCGGCUUAUGGAUUAUCACCAGCGUCAUGGAGCUACAUCAAACUGGAGUGCUCUCUAAUGUCCAUAACUUUGUAUCUCUAAGUCUCUGAAGACCCAACCCACACAUCACCGCAGUGGAUCAGAGGCAGGGAUAGGAACAAAUAAGAGAGAACAAUAAUUGGGCACCUACUAUGUGCCAGAAGUCCCAAUAGAGUAGAUACACUACAGUCCUUCACUACUAAAGGGCAAAUAUAAAACUGUCCUGGGUCCCCCCACACACACACUCCCCCUUUUCCUUUGCCAUCAACUGGUUAGACAUGCAAGUAGAGAAAUUCAAGAAUUUGGGAAGUCACUCCUAUUCGUUAAGAUAAGAGAAAUUCAACUUCAGCCGUGCAUGAAGGCUUCUGUGGUGUUCACACAGGAAUCCACAGAAGGAGAAAGAUAAUAGGGCUAGGGGAAAUGGGAGUGGCCUCAGGCCCUGAAGUUCAUCUGGCAUCCCAUCUGUCAAGUCUAACUUGACAUCCAGCCCACCAGUCUGGCUGCCAAUCAAAUCCUCCAAUCAGGCUUCUGGGAGUGAAGUCUUAACUAGGAAGGAUUCCUGUUGCUCUUGCUCUCCACAGGCUCUGAUGACCACCUCCUCCACCUGGGCUGAGGAAAGAGAAAUAGAGAGCAAGUGCUCACCCAAAGGGAAGCAUAAAGCGAUCGUUCACCGGAGAUGAAAGGCCUCACUUCCUGCCGGCGGUGGACAGGGCUGCAUCUGUUUGUCUGCAGCAACUAGAGGAGCCAGUAUCUCAGCAGAACUGGCUCAGAGCACACCCAGUGGACAAAUCUGACAAAUGUCUUUCACCAGCCUUUGUAGAACUUUGUGCAGUGCUUUCUAGAAACAAGCAGAAGCUGUGUCAAGCAUAUAAUCUCCAACUAGUGCUGCCUUCAGGGUCUUUAAGAAGAAACAUGUCCCAGGCAGCCACAGGGGACCAGGCACCAAUGAAGAGGAUUUUGUUAGGAGAACAGAACAAUUGGUCAGGGGCAGUAAUUCCCAGACCAUGGGACACUCCACCCUUCAAACCAAAACCAAUCUAUGAGUAAACUGCCAAGGACUGUCCUUUCACUCAGGAUCCAGCCUUGAAUCAAGACUCUAGUAUUGCCCUCACCCCCCCCCCCCCAGCACUGCCCGUGUUCUUCACAAAGGACUGUGAGCGUGGCCCCUGUCAUCAGUUUGCUGGGAGCAUUUUCCAGGCUCUACACAGAGCUGGGCAGAGCCAAGUGUCUUCUCCCUCAUUCAUUCACUCUCUAAACCUUUACAUAACUGAAAAUACAUCAAGUAGUGGGGGCUCUAGAAAGAAAAAUAUGACAAAGCCAGGAGACAGAGUAUGGCUGUAGGGAGUCAGGAAUGUUUUUCCUUUGAGGCGCAAUUUGAUCAGAAACCCAAUGACGUGAGACUCUGCCAGACCCACAUAUAAUGAAAGUCAGGGCUAGGGAAGUAACUCGUUGCUAAAGUAUAUGUUUGGCAUGUGACAAAACUUUAUUAUCAGCCCCGUCCAAACAAAAUAAUAAACAAACAAACAAACAAAUGGUAGUUACAGGGUAGGAGAAGGCCUGGCUGAAUCUGAAGACACACACCUGUAAGCUUUAACCCCAGCACUCAGGGAGCAGAGGCAGGUGGAUUUCUGUGAAUAUGAAGCCCAUCUACUCUACAUAUUGAGUUUCAAGCCAGCCACUGUUACAGGAUUAGAUCAUAUCAAAAACAACAAAACAAAAUAAAACAAAUACCCCAAAACA